rnacentral:rRNA from 1 species
UACGUAGGGUGCAAGCGUUGUCCGGAAUUAUUGGGCGUAAAGAGCUCGUAGGCGGCUUGUCGCGUCGACUGUGAAAUCCCGCGGCUCAACUGCGGGUCUGCAGUCGAUACGGGCAGGCUAGAGUUCGGUAGGGGAGACUGGAAUUCCUGGUGUAGCGGUGAAAUGCGCAGAUAUCAGGAGGAACACCGAUGGCGAAGGCAGGUCUCUGGGCCGAUACUGACGCUGAGGUGCGAAAGCGUGGGGAGCAAACAGG